AAUCAACGCUGGCGGCGUGCCUAACACAUGCAAGUCGAACGCGAAAGCCCCGCAAGGGGUAAGUAGAGUGGCAAACGGGUGAGUAACACGUGGGUGACCUGCCUUAGAGUGGGGGAUAACGUCCCGAAAGGGACGCUAAUACCGCAUAACAUCCUGCCUUUGAAGAGGUGGAGAUCAAAGCCGGGGACCGCAAGGCCUGGCGCUCAAAGAGGGGCCCGCGCCUGAUUAGCUAGUUGGUGAGGAAUGGCUCACCAAGGCAACGAUCAGUAUCCGGCCUGAGAGGGCGGACGGACACACUGGGACUGAGACACGGCCCAGACUCCUACGGGAGGCAGC
rnacentral:rRNA from 1 species